rnacentral:rRNA from 1 species
GACGAACGCUGGCGGCGUGCCUAAUACAUGCAAGUCGAGCGGACUUUUUAAAAGCUUGCUUUUAAAAAGUUAGCGACGGACGGGUGAGUAACACGUGGGCAACCUGCCCUGUAGACUGGGAUAACCUCGGGAAACCGAAGCUAAUACCGGAUAAUCAAUUGAAGCACCUACUUCUAUUGUAAAAGUUGGGAUACUAACACUACAGGAUGGGCCCGCGGCGCAUUAGCUAGUUGGUAAGGUAAUGGCUUACCAAGGCGACGAUGCGUAGCCGACCUGAGAGGGUGACCGGCCACACUGGGACUGAGACACGGCCCAGACUCCUACGGGAGGCAGCAGUAGGGAAUCUUCCGCAAUGGACGAAAGUCUGACGGAGCAACGCCGCGUGAACGAUGAAGGCCUUCGGGUCGUAAAGUUCUGUUGUUAGGGAAGAACAAGUACCGUUCGAAUAGGGCGGUACCUUGACGGUACCUAACCAGAAAGCCACGGCUAACUACGUG